AUACAUCGGAAAUGAAGUUUAUCAAGCCCCCAAUCAAUUCUUCGUCUUUAGCUCUUCUGUGUUAGCUCGUAUCAACCAACAGGUGAGGUGAUCGUUGGGGAUUUGAGUUAACAUCCGAUUAUUUGAUCAUCCAACAGGUGCAUCAGGGUGAAUGUGAUGAUGGUGGACGAAGUAAAGGGAGAUGAUGAUACUGUUAAUAAUAUCAUCAUCAAGAAGAAGAAAAGGGUGUUCUUUUUGGAUGUAAACCCAAUCUGUUAUGAUGGUAGCACCCCGAGUUUACACUCUUUUGCUCACUGGAUUUUCCUUUUCUUCUCCGAAGUCAGCCUUACAGACCCUGUUAUUGUCGCUGCUGUAGUACUAUAUCCAUUCAACAAGUGUGAUCCACUCUCUAAUUUAAGACUUAGAUGCAUUUUGGGUGAUGAAGCAGAUGGUGUUCCUAGAAUUCAACAUCUGGUGCCUGGUUUUGGCAUGAAAACUGCCUUAAAACUUAUAAAGAAAAUUGUCCUGCUUCUGCAAUACCUGUGGUUUUUAAUGCUUUGAAAUUAUUUGUAUUGCAGGGAUGUUAACGUUAGGAUACAUGAAGAGUGGUUGCAUAAGAGACACAAACAGAACGAUUCAGAAAUUAUAUCAAGCUUCCUUGAUUUAUUGGGGGAAACUCGUUGUUCCAAAGCUCACUGGAUUCAUAUCUAGCCCUUGUGAAACUUUCUCUGUGUAGGCUCUUGGAGUCCCUGUUCACCAUGAUGUAUAUCAGAUUAGAGCAUCCCAUAUACCACCUAGAAAACUGGUUUAUUGACCCAUCAAGGAAUUAAAGCCAAGAUAGCCAUUAAAUGGGGAAAGCCUCAUUUCCUUUACUUUUUGUAUUAAGUUCAGUUGUUUUUUUUUUUUGUUUUUUUUUGUUUUUUCUGUUGAAGUCAAAAAGAAACUCAUGUAUAUAGCUAAUUGGAUUGACCGAAGGGUAAAUUGGUCAUUUAUUCAUAUUUUAGAUAGUUCAUUAGUUCAAUAAGGAAAUACCCCUUUAUAGUUUAUAGUUUACUUAAUUAAAUGACCAUUUAAUUAAAGGUUCAAACGGUUAUUACUUGUAUUCAGUCUCAAUCGAAAGAUUUUAUGCAUAAAA